rnacentral:rRNA from 1 species
AUGAGUGGAGCUUGCUCCAUGAUUCAGCGGCGGACGGGUGAGUAAUGCCUAGGAAUCUGCCUGGUAGUGGGGGACAACGUUUCGAAAGGAACGCUAAUACCGCAUACGUCCUACGGGAGAAAGUGGGGGAUCUUCGGACCUCACGCUAUCAGAUGAGCCUAGGUCGGAUUAGCUAGUUGGUGAGGUAAAGGCUCACCAAGGCGACGAUCCGUAACUGGUCUGAGAGGAUGAUCAGUCACACUGGAACUGAGACACGGUCCAGACUCCUACGGGAGGCAGCAGUGGGGAAUAUUGGACAAUGGGCGAAAGCCUGAUCCAGCCAUGCCGCGUGUGUGAAGAAGGUCUUCGGAUUGUAAAGCACUUUAAAUUGGGAGGAAGGGCAGUAAGCUAAUACCUUGCUGUUUUGACGUUACCGACAGAAUAAGCACCGGCUAACUUCGUGCCAGCACCCGCGGUAAUACUAAGGGUGCGAGCGUUAAUCUGAAUUACUGGGCGUAGA